rnacentral:rRNA from 1 species
UGACCACGGGGGGCAGCAGCCGCGGUAAUACGUAGGUGGCAAGCGUUGUCCGGAAUUACUGGGUGUAAAGGGAGCGCAGGCGGGAAGCCAAGUCAGCUGUGAAAACUACGGGCUUAACUUGUAGACUGCAGUUGAAACUGGUUUUCUUGAGUGAAGUAGAGGUUGGCGGAAUUCCGAGUGUAGCGGUGAAAUGCGUAGAUAUUCGGAGGAACACCGGUGGCGAAGGCGGCCAACUGGGCUUUAACUGACGCUGAGGCUCGAAAGGGGGGGGAGCAAACAGGAUUAGAUACCCCGGUAGUCCGAGA